ensembl:lncRNA
GUGAAGUGAUUUGUUCUUUAGGAGUGUUUUUCUCUUGAACAGCGCUCCGUGUGGAGACUUGAGGUAGUUCUGUAGUCACAGGUGCACAAAUCAGUCACACAGCUCCAGCUCCACCUGCGCCUCUCGCAGGGAAACGGUUUCUGUGCACUGGCUCCGUCCCAAAUCACCUUGUAUGGAAUCUCUAUCUCUAGUGCACUAGGUGCGGUAGAGACUACAUUUGUUCAGACCGUGUGUAGUGUACCUAGAUACGCAGUCGUGCAGGAUUUGGGCACAGGCCACGCUAAUGAAGCAUCAUCUAUUUCAAGUCAAGUUGCUAUUGUUAAACAUUUCACUAAAACCUGUAUGGAAACGUUGCUGUUCAGUUGUUCUAUAAGCGCAAUUUCAACCAAAUACAUUGGAGUGUAAAAGUUUGUACCCCCUUUUGGUUUCUUGUGGACAGAAGGGUGUUAAAUGUCCUAAACACUACAAAAUUUGACUUUUCCAAAGCCCAGGCUGACCCCCCACCCCUUCAACCUUUGCAGCAAUGCUGGCAGCACUAUUUCCCAAAGACAGCCUCUGGAUAUGACGCUGAGCGCGUACACUCAACUUCUUUGGUCGAUCAUGGCGAGGACUGUUCUGAGUGGAACCUGUCCUGAGUGGAGCCUGUCCUGUUAAACUGCUGUAUGGUCUUGGCCACCGUGCUGCAGCUCAGUGUCAGGGUCUUGGCAAUCUGCUUAUAGCCUAGGCCAUCUUUAUGUAGAGCAACAAUUCUUUUUUUCAGAUCCUCUGAGAGUUCUUUGCCAUGAGGUGCCAUGUUGAACUUCCAGUGACCAGUAUGAGGGAGUGUGAGGGCGAUGACACCAAAUUUAACACACCUGCUCCCCAUUCACACCUGAGACCUUGUAACACUAACAAGUCACAUGACACCGGGGAGGGAAAAUGGCUAAUUGGGCCCAAUUUGGACAUUUUCACUUAGGGGUGUACUCACUUUUGUUGCCAGUGGUUUAGACAUUAAUGGCUGUGUGUUGAGUUAUUUUGAGGGGA